CUUUCAGAGAUCAUUCUAACAGCAACUUGUUUCCGGCUGGGACUGUAGUGAAAUACUCCUGUGUGAGAGGUUAUGAGUUAAUCCCUGGAAUAUUCUCUGCAAGUGUUACCUGUCAAAAAGAUUUCACAUGGUCUGAACAUGAAGAAUUUUGUCGGAAAAUUAGAUGUCCAUCUCCAGACAUUACCAAUGGAAAAGCAAUACCUAGAAAAGAAACCUACAUGUAUGAGGACAAGAUUCGCACUGAAUGUAAUCCCGGUUAUGCCCUCAAAGACAAGAAUGGAUUGAUUAAGUGUGAACAUAAUGGUGCAUGGGAUCCUCCAUUACCAAUUUGCGAACUGGCUUGUGAGCCACCUGCGCGCAUCGCUAAUGGACGGGACGACCGCGGCUGGAAAAAUGUUUUCCUUGUUGGAUCAAGUGUGAGCUAUUCCUGUAACCGUGGUUGGUCACUUGUUGGAGUAUCCUCCAUUCGAUGUACAGCUGGUGAUGGGGGAACACCGCACUGGGAUGCACCUACCCCUGAGUGCAAAGGAGAAGCAAAUUGAUUCUCCUCUGUGCAACAUGGUUCAUGAGAGUGUAAAGUUUCUCCACUGCGGUGUGUGUCUGACGGAACUGAGAACCCUGCUGGAAGCACAGAAACUGUAUCUGGAGAUUCCAAAACUUAAGCAGGACCUACAAAAAUACAAUGAAUAGCUGAUAUCUAUGACCCCUUACUGUGACAAACUGUCUCCUUUGGAUGCAGUUUGUAUAAUUACUUUGUACAUAUGAUGAUUGUUACUAUUUGCAGAGAACUUGCUAGUAUAUCUAGUGAUCCAGGAAGAGAUUAGCCAGUACCUCAGGAAUCAGAUAUUUUUCAUGCUGUGUGCCAGUGAUUAAAGUUUUUUUGGUUUUUUUUUUUUUUUGCUCUUUCCUUUCAAUCUGACACACAAGUCCCUACUAGAGACUAAAAUCCCUAAUAAAAUCCUAUGUUUGGGGGGGAGGGCUAUAGUAACAGGGUUGAAUUCAGAUUCCUUUCAAUUCGGAAAGGGAAAGCAAGUUGAGAGAAACUAGACUAAAAUGUACGGAAGUAAAUCUUCAGCUGACUCAAGCUUCAGACCCUAUGCGGAAUACACCAACAACCUUCAGCUUUUAAAAAUCACUCAGCUGUUGCAUAUGUUAAACCUUAAUGCAUUAUAACCCAAACAUAUUUAAAGUAGUGAAUGGCUAUUUAACUGCCUCAUUUCCAUGAACUUUAAGGGCAUCUCUGUUCAGAAAUCCCUGUGCCCCCACUGAAAAUGUAAAGCUUAAAGCCAAUUUUCUGCCCUAUCCUCUUAGUUAAAAAGUCAACAGUUUUUUCCUUCCCAAUCUGAACAAAUCUAUUUUUGAUUGACGACAGUGCUGAUCUCAUCUGUAGCAUUUCUAUAGCCUCACACACAGUCCCACGAAUUUAUGGUGAAAAUUUAAGUGUAGAGCAGCAACCCGCUAACCAUUUCCCUAUUGCCCAAUGAAUGAUAGGGGUGUCCUCUAACCUACACCUUUGUGAUCAAGCAAUUAUUUCUGCCCUGCAGGGCUACAAUAAAGUGCAACUGUAAAAACUGCU